CCCCCCAGCCCUGCAACAGGGCAAGCAGCUCCUCCAGCUCAUCUGCCUCUGCGGAGCCCUACUGCAACGACAACGUGGUCCCCCCAUACCCCUGGGCCUGCCCGCAGCCCCCGGCUGACAGCACCCACCUGCAUGCAGCAACCCCUGUGCAUGGCAGCACCGAAUACCCCUGCGCAGAGCCUAAUCCUGCUGAGAGCUCCAGCACCUCCUCGGGGGAGUGGUACGAGAACGUGCAGGGUACAGAGCCAGCCAGGGACCCGUCUGCGUGCCCUGGCUGGCCACCUCCUUCCUGCCCCGCAGGGGUAUAUGAACAAGACUCUGAUACCUCCGAGGGCAGUGACUAUGAUGACAUCCAGGCCUCUGCCUACUGAGACUUGCAACUGGCCAUCUCUGGGCUGCCUGCUGCCCUCCGCCUGCCCAGCGCAAGGAAAGUGGUCUCGGCUGCUCCAACACCACAGGCCCAGCACCCGAAGAAGAAAGCCCUAGUCCAGGCCAAUGCCUGGACAGACAGACACAGCCACUGACUUGCCCCAGGAAGAACUAGCACAUCCCCCAGAAAUCCCCCAGUCCCUUGGACCUGACCUGCUUGCAAAUGCCGGCAGUACUGUGGAGCAGCCGGGCAGUGGGUGGGGGUGCACUGCAGUGGGGGGCUGAGUCGGCUGCAUGGACGGCAAAGGAGGGCACAGCCUCCUGGGUGGGAUCACUUGGCAUCUUGCUGUGGCCAUCUCCUCUGGGUAUCUUCUCCGGAUGGCUCCUCCAUGUUGGAGGGGAGGCAGUGUGGUCACCAGGCCCAACAGCAUGCUUGGAUAGGACGGGGAUGCUUGGAGCAGGCGAGCCCUGGGGGCUG